CAAGGUCUCCGUUGGUGAACCAGCGGAGGGAUCAUUAUAGAGUUUUCUAAACUCCCAACCCAUGUGAACUUACCUUUUGUUGCCUCGGCAGAAGUUAUAGGUCUUCUUAUAGCUGCUGCCGGUGGACCAUUAAACUCUUGUUAUUUUAUGUAAUCUGAGCGUCUUAUUUUAAUAAGUCAAAACUUUCAACAACGGAUCUCUUGGUUCUGGCAUCGAUGAAGAACGCAGCGAAAUGCGAUAAGUAAUGUGAAUUGCAGAAUUCAGUGAAUCAUCGAAUCUUUGAACGCACAUUGCGCCCAUUAGUAUUCUAGUGGGCAUGCCUGUUCGAGCGUCAUUUCAACCCUUAAGCCUAGCUUAGUGUUGGGAAUCUACUUCUUUAUAGUUGUAGUUCCUGAAAUACAACGGCGGAUUUGUAGUAUCCUCUGAGCGUAGUAAUUUUUUCUCGCUUUUGUUAGGUGCUAUAACUCCCAGCCGCUAAACCCCCAAUUUUUUGUGGUUGACCUCGGAUCAGGUAGGAAUACCCGCUGAACUUAAGCAUAU
rnacentral:rRNA from 1 species